rnacentral:lncRNA from 1 species
CACCACUUGUUCUCCAUCAGAAGCAGCUGUUUCUUGAGUAGCGUCAUAGUUGAUCCAUCUUGUUCCUGUGGUGUGCAUUUUGUCUUCCUAUAACGAAUCGCUCUUGCCUGAUCCAUUUGCAAAAAAACGAUGACAAAAUUCGGUGGCUCUUCAAAAAUUUGGUGCACCCUGCCUUAGCUAAAUCAUCAGCCACCUCAUUCCCCUUUCCGUAGGUAUGUGCAGUGGUAGCACUAUGUAGUUGGCACUAUGUAGUUGGCCCAGGAGGUACCUGCAAUCAGCUAGUAUAUUAGUACAAACUAUGUUGUCAUUUUUUAACAUGAUAAGUACCUCUGAUGGUAAGCAAUCCCCAACUUUCAAUCGAGAGGUUGUGAGUUCGAGUCUCCCCAAGAGCAAGGUGGGAAGUUCUUGGAGGGCAGGACGCCGGGGGUCUAUUUGGAAAGAGCGUCUCUACCCAAUGGUAGGGGUAAGGUCUGUGUACACACUACCCUCCCCAGACCCCACUAAGUGGAAUUAUACUGGGUUGUUGUUGUGGAAAUCGAAAUCGAAAAAAUAGAAACCUUAUUGAAACGAUAACGAUAAACAUAUUACGUAUGUACAAAUUGAUAAUCGAUAAGGGCCGAAAUCGAUCUCUACCCAAGGGUAGGGGUAAGGUCUGCGUACACACUACCCUCCCCAGACCCCACUAAGUGAGAUUAUACUGGAUAAUUAUUAUUGUUGUUGUAUUAAGUACAUCUGAUGUAUCGACGUUUAUCUCUCGCGAAACCAAUUUGUAUGUAUUUUCCGAUUCCAGUCCAUGGAAUAGGGCCUUUACUUUUUAUUUUGGACGGUACUUGAAUCUUCCAAAUCCAAUUGUAAAAGAUUGUGUGUUCUGUUAUGUUUAAAUCCUGUUGUAGUAACUAUUGACUGGACAGUAAAUUUUCCAAGCUCGGAUAAUCCUCA